rfam:Picea glauca, whole genome shotgun sequence.
AGGGUGCUAGCUCAAUGGAAGAGCACCUUCCUUAUAAGCAGGGGGUUGGUGGUUCGAUUCCUCCAUGCCCUA